UCAUCACUAAGGUGUCAUUCAUCAUCAUCAUCAUCAUCACUAAGGUGUCAUUCAUCAUCAUCACUAAGGUGUCAUUCAUCAUCAUCAUCACUAAGGUGUCAUUCAUCAUCAUCAUCAUCACUAAGGUGUCAUUCAUCAUCAUCAUCACUAAGGUGUCAUUCAUCAUCAUCAUCACUAAGGUGUCAUUCAUCAUCAUCAUCACUAAGGUGUCAUUCAUCAUCACUAAGGUGUCAUUCAUCAUCAUCAUCACUAAGGUGUCAUUCAUCAUCAUCAUCACUAAGGUGUCAUUCAUCAUCACAAAGGUGUCAUUCAUCAUCACUAAGGUGUCAUUCAUCAUCAUCAUCACUAAGGUGUCAUUCAUCAUCACAAAGGUGUCAUUCAUCAUCACUAAGGUGUCAUUCAUCAUCACUAAGGUGUCAUUCAUCAUCACUAAGGUGUCAUUCAUCAUUACUAAGGUGUCAUUCAUCAUCAUCAUCACAAAGGUGUCAUUCAUCAUCAUCACUAAGGUGUCAUUCAUCAUCAUCAUCAUCAUCACUAAGGUGUCAUUCAUCAUCAUCCUCAUCACUAAGGUAUCAUUCAUCAUCAUCAUCACUAAGGUGUCAUUCAUCAUCAUCAUC